rnacentral:rRNA from 1 species
AUGAAAGCAGGAGCUUGCUUUUGCUGGAUUAGUGGCGAACGGGUGAGUAACACGUGAGUAACCUGCCCUUGACUCUGGGAUAAGCGUUGGAAACGACGUCUAAUACCGGAUACGAGCUAGGACCGCAUGGUCACUAGUUGGAAAGAAUUUCGGUCAAGGAUGGACUCGCGGCCUAUCAGCUAGUUGGUGAGGUAACGGCCCACCAAGGCGACGACGGGUAGCCGGCCUGAGAGGGUGACCGGCCACACUGGGACUGAGACACGGCCCAGACUCCUACGGGAGGCAGCAGUGGGGAAUAUUGCACAAUGGGCGCAAGCCUGAUGCAGCAACGCCGCGUGAGGGACGACGGCCUUCGGGUUGUAAACCUCUUUUAGCAGGGAAGAAGCGAAAGUGACGGUACCUGCAGAAAAAGCACCGGCUAACUACGUGCCAGCAGCCGCGGUAAU